AUGCAGACACAAAUGCGAGUCUUGCUGGGCCUCCUGUGGAUACAGAUUUGCUGGGUAAGAGUACAGAUGAAGGUGGAGCAGAGUCCUAGGGUCCUGAUCCUCCAAGAGGGCAGAAAUGCCUCUAUGAUAUGCAAUUACUCUACCUCCAUGACCAGUGUGCAGUGGUUCCAACAAAGCCCUGAAGGACGCUUCACAUCCUUGUCGUACAUUGCUUCUGGAACGCAGCAAAAAGGAAGACUAAAAUUCACCGUCAAUAUCAAGGAACGUAACAGCCACCUGUAUAUCACGGACUCCCAGCCUUGGGACUCAGUCACAUAUUUCUGCGCUGUGGGGGCACAGUGCUCUCCAGACACCUGCAGCCUGUACAUGAAGCCAUAG